GACGUAGGUGGCGAACGUUAUCCGGAAUUAUUGGGCGUAAAGGGCGCGUAGGCGGCUGUACAAGUCAAAGGUGAAAUCCCUCGGCUCAACUGAGGAACUGCCUUUGAAACUGUACGGCUUGAGGCCGGGAGGGGGUAGCGGAAUUCCCAGUGUAGCGGUGAAAUGCGUAGAUACUGGGAGGAACACCAGUGGCGAAGGCGGCUACCUGGACCGGUUCUGACGCUGAGGCGCGAAAGCGUGGGUAGCAAACAGG
rnacentral:rRNA from 1 species